AUUGAACGCUGGCGGUAUGCCUUACACAUGCAAGUCGAACGGUAGAGGGGCAACCCUUGAGAGUGGCGAACGGGUGAGUAAUACAUCGGAACGUGCCCAGUCGUGGGGGAUAACGUAGCGAAAGCUACGCUAAUACCGCAUACGACCUGAGGGUGAAAGCGGGGGAUCGCAAGACCUCGCGCGAUUGGAGCGGCCGAUGGCAGAUUAGGUAGUUGGUGGGGUAAAGGCCUACCAAGCCUGCGAUCUGUAGCUGGUCUGAGAGGACGACCAGCCACACUGGGACUGAGACACGGCCCAGACUCCUACGGGAGGCAGCAGUGGGGAAUUUUGGACAAUGGGCGCAAGCCUGAUCCAGCCAUGCCGCGUGCGGGAAGAAGGCCUUCGGGUUGUAAACCGCUUUUGUCAGGGAAGAAAAGGUUCUGGUUAAUACCUGGGACUCAUGACGGUACCUGAAGAAUAAGCACCGGCUAACUACGUGCCAGCCGCCGCGGUAACAC
rnacentral:rRNA from 1 species